rnacentral:tRNA from 1 species
GCAAAUAUAGUUUAAUAAAACAUUAGAUUGUGAAUCUAAAAUUAGAAACUGACACCUUCUUAUUUGCC